UAUGGAGAAAGGGGCGGCUCCCGCCGGGAUCAGCGAAGCUCCGGAGGGGAGGCAGAGCCAGGCCAGGCACGGACGGGAGAGGAGGCGGCGGGAGGGCGCCGCCCAGUGCCUGCAGGCCGCGCGCCCGCCCGCCAGGCGCUCCCCGCUGCACCCUCCAUUCCCCUCCUGAGGCCCCGCCCGGGAAUCCCCUCCCCGCCCCGCGUCUGUUCGAGGGCCGCGAGGCCAGGCCGCUCACCCGACGGCGGCCGCAACCCGGCCCUGACCAGCGACCGCCCGGUCCUUCCCUUCGCUCCGCGCGAGCGCCACCACCCGUCCUUACCCCCAUCCAGUCCGAGGCCAGCCCCUUGGGCUCCGAGCCUGCUCCCUGAGAAGCGUUUCUCCCAGAAGGAGAGUUACUGGAAAGCAAGCGGAAGCCGAGGAGAGGCGGCGACGGCAGCUCGCUCGCGGAGCCGGGCGGGAGCGCGGGGGAGUCCGGCCGCGUACCGGGCCGCGCGGUGUCCCCUCAGCGCAGAACGCGGCGCGGCGCCAGCGCCACCCAGCGGGCGUGGCGGGAACUGCGCUCCCUCCCUGCGCGGGGGCUCCGGACACACAGGAGACCGAGAACGACGCCUGUAACCGGAUAAACGCUCGGGGCGAGGCCGCUAUUGUCCCUCUGCCGGGAGUGAGUCAAGUCCCAGCAAAAGAAGAAACCGCCUAGGUCAUACUUCCUCGAGUGCUGAUGAAGACGGUGACAUCUGACAUUUCAAUGGCACUUUCUAUUCCCCCUGGUGUGCAGGACCGUAACCUGUCGGAGUCUCGGAGCCCCGGAGCCCGGGAUUAAACAUUACUCGGGAGCACUCAUUCAUUCCCUGGGUUCCCCUUGCCCUUCACCCUCUGGCCCCUGAAGCCGGAAGGGAGACUGCCCCCGUUCCCUACCUGCCGCCUGGGUGUCUCCCGGGGCCCUCGUGGUCCCUCUCUCUCAGCCCUCCAAACGGUAUUCACUUCAAGGCUGCCCAGUGUCCCCUCCCACCCAGAGGAAUUUCCCCUCUCCAGCCCAGGCCAACGGCCUCUGCCUCCAGCUGUGGCCUCCACUCUGGCCUUACUCUGGGCAGAGGGCUCAAGAGGGCUGAAGGAGGACCAGUGACAUUCAGAGUGGCCAGAGUAAAGGGAGGGAGCAGAUAAGUGCGGCUGGGAUCUAUGGGGCCAGAGCCAGAGAAGCAGAGGUCCCAGGCCACACCUGAAAAGGGAAGUUCCUGAAAGAGGCCAAGCAAGAGGAGCCCCAAUGCCGGGGUGCUGUGAGCAGUGGUGGGCUGGUCAGUGUGCAGAACUGGUAAAGCUGGUGGGGCUCAGGCAAAGAGGUGAAAGGAAGGGUCACACCUGGAGCAGAAGGAAGGCGUGAUGCAAGGCCAGCUCAGUCACAAACCCUGCGUUGGCGGCAGGUGCCUUCCCUCUGCGCCCAUAUGGCCUGGAAGUGAUCGGCUCCAGCUGAACAGCUUUAUCCAGACAGUGGCUUCUGCUGACCAGCUGUUUACCCCCUUACUUGAUAUGCACUUGCCAAAGCCUGCAAGCCAGAGGACCCCACAGCUCAGUCCAAAGCAUUCAACCUUUGGCCUACUAGGAUCUCAGCCACACCCCAGAGUCCCAAAGAGAAGUGACUCAGAUUGGAAACAGUGGCUCCAAAUGACCUCAGAAAAACUCUGUCUCCCAGGCUGGAGUGCAGUGGUGAUCUCGGCUUACUGCAACCUCUGCCUUUUGGAUUCAAGUUAUUCUCCUGCCUCAGCCUCCGAGUAGGUGGGACCACAGGCACGAACAACCAAUCCCAGCCUUCCUAGUCCAAGUGCCUGAAAGUGUCAAGUGGAAAUGGCUUCUUGCCCAGGCUCAGCGCUGUCCCUCUGAUGUCAAAUGGGCUCUGCGUGCUUUUGAGAGGUGCAGCCUGCUGCUCCCUAUGUGAAUGGGAGCGUUUUCUCCAACAGCCCUGUCCAUGACAGGCCUGGCUCCGCACAGAGGCAGGGGCUGAGACUUCACUGAUCAGGAAAUCUUGGCCUCCCGCAGAGGCCCGCGGGCAGCUGGAGAGGAAGCCUAAAGCCUCAGUGCCUGCACUAGACCCUUUUCAGCUUCCUUCAGGAUUGCAACAGCAGAUAGGGGAGCAGACCGGCUUUUUCUGCAUCUUCAGCUAAUGGUGGCAGAUGGCAACGCAGCUCCCAGUUACACAUCUUCAUUUGUGGGGCCAACUGAGCUCUCUCACCAAAUUCCAAUUCCAAAUCCCCAGGGAAAGGAAUCCAACUGGGUGAGCUCAGUUGGGCAUCCACCCUGGCCCAGCCAACUGGCUCCUGAUUACGUCCGGGAGGGCAGAGUCCCAUAGCACAGAAGUAGGGGCUGGGUCAGGGAGAUGCCCCCACUGCUCUGUCCACAGGACAGGAAUAGCAUUUGUAGAAGAGACAAAGUCAAGUAUCAUUCUGCUCCAGAGGAGGUGACAGUGAGACCUACAGAAAAAGCACGAGCUUGCCAGGAAAGCUGGCCCGUGCACAGCAUCAGCAGGAAUGCCUGGCGGUGGCUCCCUGCGGGUCCCUCCCCAGGGGCACACAAAACAGCUUUUUGACAGCCAGGCAAGCCUGCCCUGAAACACACACAGCUGUCCUGUCGCCCAUGAGUUGGGCAAUGUGGGACUGGGGCAUGAAGGAGCUUAGGAAAGGUCAAGGGAUGGGGACGGCAGAGAUCACUGCCACCAGUCCUCUGCACUGAAUUAGAGCUGCAGCAUCAUUUACAUAAAGAAGAUAGCACCUCAGCAGAUUGUGGCAGCUCGGUUUCCCUGAUGACCUUGCUUCCGUUCUUAAAACUGGCACCUACAUAGGCUGGAAGCAGACUCAUUCAUCAAGUCAGCCAGCCUGGCACAGACAUGGUGAUGGAUGUAUAUUUCCAGACAUGAUCUGGGAUGGAAACUGGAUAGUAAGGAGAAUUUUGGGGGGGGAUUUCCCUCAAACCUGCUCAGUCCCAGAGGGCUCCAUGUGACAGGAGACCCCUGUUGGCACCCCAGAACCCUCAGGUACGUCCACAGUCCCAAGGCCAAGAGCCAGGAGGGCAGGAGCAGGUCAGGAGGGCCAACAUGUGAAUCCCUCAGGCUGGGCAGCACAAGUUCCACCAAAAAAUACUUCCUCAGCCCCUGCCAAGUGCAGGGUUCUGACCUCCAUGUGAGGAUGAAGAUGAAGACAGCAUAAGCUCUGCCUCUGGAAACCGCCAUCUGCAUGGAGAGGAAAGGCAUAUGCAGGCUGGAACAGUAAGGGGAAAUGCCUCUACAUGGCUGAGUGACCUAGUCCUUGGGCCCCUGGGGAGCUAUGAGAGCAGAGGGCAGUGCAGCAGGGGUGACGGGAGCUGCCUGGAGCUCAGAGAAGAAGGGGAGCGAAGGCAAAGACAUGGGAAUGUGAAGGGCACAUUUGGGCCCCUAGAAUGUGGUGUUUACAGAUAGGAACCGGGGAGAAAAGGUGAAAAAUAAGUUAAUGUCGGAAAUGCAAGGUCUUGAACAGCAGGUUAAAAAGUUACGUCUGUAAUCCCAUAAGUGAUCGGCUGUGGGGAUGGUGUUUGAGCAAGAGGGUGAGUUGGAGCAUAAAGUAGUGGUUAGGGAGGAAAUCUCUGGAAGUGGCCUGGACAAGGGGUUCCAGGCUGUGAGAAGAAGCUCCUGGAGUCCAGCGGACUGGGUCAGAAGCUACUGGAUACAGCUCAGGACCCAGACACCAAGAGCAUGGAUUAGAGUGUGUAUGGGAGCAGGGGAAAUUCAGGAAUAAGCAUUUGAAAUGGUUAAAGACUCCAUGGGACCUGGUCGCUCAUUUGCUAUGUAUGGGAGGCCGAGAAGAUGUGAAGCUUUAAUGAUUAAUGUGGUGCCAAGGGCAGAAAAAGGGCUCCAUAGCCACGCAGCCACCGAGUGGCAGGGGCAGGGCAUCAUUCAUGAAUUCUACACAGUCUCUGCCCUUAAGGACCUCACAUCCUCUUUUUUUCACCCUCGUCUCUUAGGAAAAGGCCCUAAGAAGCCAUUAAAAAUAUGCCAUAGAGGAAGUGAUCAAAGUGAAACGGGGAAGCUUUGCAACAGAUACUUCACUUAUAUUCUCAGUCCUCAAAAUAACCAGAGGAGCUCUGGGGCCAGCUGCUCAGGGCAGCGGGCUCUGAGCUCCUCAGCACUCCAGGUUUCCUCCAAGAAUGUCUUGUCCAGGGCACCAAGUGGACAGGCUGGUGAAAGCCCUGUGGGGGGAUGAGGUCCAGCCUUUGGCCAGAGAUCAGCCUGUGCUCUAGCUGUCAGAGAACUGGAAGGACAAGGACUCCCGUCAGCAAGGCAGGCAGAGAAGGGUUUGGGGACACGGCGGGGAGUUUGGUUUCGGCUGUGUUGAAGUUGACAGGAUGACGAGGCCCUGAAACAACACCCAACAGGAUUGCUUGGGUGUCCUUAAACAUGGCAGCUGGCUUCACCCAGAAUGAGUGUCCAAGAGAGAGCGAGACGGAAGCCACCACAUCUUCUAUGACUUAACCUCAGAAUACACAUCUCUUUUGCCAUGUUCCAUUCAUCAGAAGCAAGUCACUCUGUCCAGCCCACACUUAAGGGGAGAGGAACUGGGUUCCUCUUGAAGGAAAGAGUAUAAAAGGAGUAUCCAAGAAUUCAUAGCCUAGUUUAAAACCAACAAAGCACAGAAGUGAAUGUGCAGUGUUCCCAAGUGUUUGGAGGCUUGGUAGUCAACGGACAGAGUCCGGGAAAUCCUGCAAGAUGGCGGGCAGAACAAUGUCCUGCAGAGAUGUCCGUGUUCUAAUUCCCUGGACCUGUGAAUAUGUUAUGUUACAUGGCAAAGGGGAAUUAGGGUUGCUAACUGGCUAACCUUAAUAUAAAAGAUUAUUCCAGAUUAUCCAGGUGGGCUCAGUGUAAUCACAAGGGUCCUUAAACAGGAAAGCAAGAGGCGGAAGAGUCAGUGUCAGAGUGAUGAGGCACAAGAAAGGCCCCAUAGCCAUUGCUGGCCUUGGAGACGGGAGGGACCAUCAGCCAAGGAAGGCAGGUGGCCUCCAGAAGCCAGGAAAGGCCCGGAAGCAGAUUUUUCCCUAGAGCUUCCAGAAGGGAUGCAGUUGCGCUGGCACCUUGAGUCUAAGAAGACCCAUGUUAGGUCCAUUUCUUGUUGUUUUAAGCCAUUAACUGUGUGGUGAUCUGUGGCAGCAGCAACAGGGAACUAAUACAGAGCUCUGCCCACCCUUCUCCUUUGCCCCAUCUCGGAUCCAUUCCUGCUCCCAUCACAUGCUGAUGACGACGGUACUUAUUUCCACAGAGUCCAUAUUGUUGCUUUUUCAUGUUUAUCUGAAGCACCAAAUACAUUGCUCAUUACUUUGCAGCCACUAAGAACCCGACCCGGAGAAAAGGGAAUCUUUGUACACUAUUGGUGGGAAUGUAAAUUAGUAUAGCCACUAUGGAGAACAGUUUGAAGGCUGUUCCUCAAAAAUCUAAAAAUUGAGUCCCAUGCCGGGUACACACCUACAAGAAAGGAAAUCAGUUUCGCAGACAUAGGUGCACUGCCAUGUUUGCUGCAGCACUGCUCACAAUAGCCAAGACUUGGAAGCAACCUCAGUGCCCAUCAACAGAAGAAUGAAGAAAACCUCGUACACAUACACAAUGGAGUGCUAUUCAGCCAUAGGAAGAAUGAACUUUUGUCAUUUGCGACAGGGUGGAUGGAACUGGAAAUUAUUAUGUUCAGUGAAAUAAGCCAGGUACGGAAAGACACACAUCACAUGUUCUCACUUACUUGUGGAAUCUAAAAAUGAAAACAAUGAAACUCAUGGAGAUAGAGAGUAGAAGGAUGGUUACUAGAAACUGGGAAGGGUUGUGGGGGGCUUGGGGGGCAGGUAGGGAUGGUUAAGGGGUACACAAAGUAGAAUAAAUAAAACCUGCUAUUUGAUAGCACAACAGGGCAACUACAGUCACAACCGCACAUUUUUGAAUAACUUCGAGUGUAAUUGGAUUAUUUGCAACUCAAAGGUUAAAUGCUUGAAGGGAUGGAUACCCCAUUCUCUAUGGUAUGCUUAUUUCACCUUGCAUGCCUUUGUCAAAACAUCUCAUGUACCCCAUAAAUAUAGACGCCUACUAUUAAAUGUAUAUUUCUUAACACAUACCCACAAAAUUAAACAUAAUAAUAAAAUAAAAUUCCAAAAAAGAGAA